AACGGCUAUAAAAAUAGCUUUUUUGAUCUAAUCGAGUGGGGAACGAAGACAUGGAUACCGGUAUCGUGAAAUGGUUUAACGAUGCUAAAGGUUUCGGCUUUAUUACGUCGGACAAUGGCGGUGAAGAUUUGUUUGCGCACUUUUCCGAAAUCAAGAUGGACGGCUUCAAGACGCUGAAGGAAAACCAGCGCGUUUCCUUCGACGUGAAAGUCGGGCCGAAAGGCAAGCAGGCAGCGAAUAUCCAGGCGGUCUGACGCGCCACGCAUUGCCGAUCACGUCCGGCCCCCGCAUUGCGGGGGCUUUUUG
rnacentral:sRNA from 1 species